rnacentral:tRNA from 1 species
GGGGAUUUAGCUCAGUGGUAGAGCGCUUGCCUAGCAUGCACAAGGCCCUGAGUUCAGUCCCCA